ACUCAAAUGAAUAGACGGGGACCCGCACAAGCGGUGGAGCAUGUGGUUUAAUUCGACGCAACGCGAAGAACCUUACCUGGGCUAGAAUGUGAGGGAAGACCGCGCAAAACGUGGUUGUCGAGGGGAAACCUGAGACCCAAAACAAGGUGCUGCACGGCUGUCGUCAGCUCGUGUCGUGAGAUGUUGGGUUAAGUCCCGCAACGAGCGCAACCCCUACUGCUAGUUGCUAACAGGUUAAGCUGAGCACUCUAGUAGAACCGCUGAUGAUAAAUUGGAGGAAGGUGGGGAUGACGUCAAGUCAUCAUGGCCUUUAUGCCCAGGGCUACACACGUGCUACAAUGGUUGGUACAAAGAGAAGCAAGACCGCGAGGUGGAGCCAAUCUCAAAAAGCCAACCUCAGUUCGGAUUGUAGUCUGCAACUCGACUACAUGAAGUUGGAAUCGCUAGUAAUCGCGGAUCAGCACGCCGCGGUGAAUACGUUCCCGGGUCUUGUACACACCGCCCGU
rnacentral:rRNA from 1 species